rnacentral:rRNA from 1 species
AUUGAACGCUGGCGGCAGGCCUAACACAUGCAAGUCGAGCGGAUGAAGGGAGCUUGCUCCUGGAUUCAGCGGCGGACGGGUGAGUAAUGCCUAGGAAUCUGCCUGGUAGUGGGGGAUAACGUCCGGAAACGGGCGCUAAUACCGCAUACGUCCUGAGGGAGAAAGUGGGGGAUCUUCGGACCUCACGCUAUCAGAUGAGCCUAGGUCUGAUUAGCUAGUUGGUGGGGUAAAGGCCUACCAAGGCGACGAUCCGUAACUGGUCUGAGAGGAUGAUCAGUCACACUGGAACUGAGACACGGUCCAGACUACUACGGGAGGCAGCAGUGGGGAAUAUUGGACAAUGGGCGAAAGCCUGAUCCAGCCAUGCCGCGUGUGUGAAGAAGGUCUUCUGAUUGUAAAGCACUUUAAGUUGGGAGGAAGGGCAGUAAGUUAAUACCUUGCUGUUUUGACGUUACCAACAGAAUAAGCACCGGCUAACUUCGUG